rnacentral:rRNA from 1 species
AGAUUAUUAAUUUAUUAAUUAUUUUUGAUUUAAUUAAUUUUAAAAAUAAAAUUAAUUUUAACUUUUAAUUAUUUAAGUAUUUUAUAAAGAAUAAAUUUAUAUAAUUAUAUAUUAUUAGUAAUGUAAAUUAAUAUUGAAAUAUAAUGAAAUAUAAAAUUUAUUAAAAGUAAAUUUAUUUUAUUUUACCUUUUGUAUCAGGGUAUAUUUAAUUAAUUAUAUAAAAUUAUAUAUUUCUCGAUUUUAAAAGAGUUAAUUAAUUAUGUUAGUUAUUGUAAUAUAAAUAUUAAUAAUAUUUUAUUAGAGAUGAAAUGUCAAUCGUUUUUAAAUAUAUCUAGUUUUUUUAGAAAUGAAUUUAAUUCAGAAAUUAAUUUUUUAAAUUUAAUUUUAAAAUUUAAAUUAAUUUAAUUUUAAUAAUUUAAGGGUUUAUCUUUAAAUUAAUAUUUAAAAUUUAUUUUUGGUGUUAUAAAAUUUAUAAAUUUAGUAAUAGUUAAUAAAUAAAAAUUGUAAUAAUGUAUUUUAUUGAUAUUUUAAUAAAAAUUUAAUUAAUUUAUAAAAAUAUAAUUUUUAAUAAAAAAAAUUUUGAUUUAAUGAUAUAAUUAGUAUAUUUUAUUAUAAAUUUAAUUAAAAAUUAAAGAUUAAAAUAAGGAAUUCAGCAAAAUUUUAUACUCGCCUGUUUAUCAAAAACAUGUCUUUUUGAAAUUAAUAUAAAGUCUAAUCUGCCCACUGAUUAAUAAUUAAAGGGCCGCAGUAUUUUGACUGUGCAAAGGUAGCAUAAUCAUUAGUCUUUUAAUUGAGGUCUAGUAUGAAUGAUUGAACGUAGUAUAAACUGUCUCAUUUUAAUUAAUAGUAGAAAUUAAUUUUUAAGUUAAAAAGCUUAAAUUUAAUUAAAAGACGAGAAGACCCUAUAGAACUUUAUAUUAAUAAUUUUAAUAAAUUUAUUAAAUUUAUAAUAAUUAUUAAUUUAUUAGUAUUUUGUUGGGGUGACAAUAUAAUUUAGUAAACUUAUAUAUAUAUAUAUACACAUUAAUGAAUGUUUUAUUUAAAGAUCUUAUAAUAUAAAUUAUUAAAAUAAGUUACCUUAGGGAUAACAGCGUAAUUUUUUUUUAGAGUUCAUAUUAACAAAAUAGAUUACGACCUCGAUGUUGGAUUAAGAUAAAUAUUUAGGUGUAGGGGCUUAAAUGUAUUUGGUCUGUUCGACCAUUAAAUUCUUACAUGAUCUGAGUUAAAAUCGGUGUAAGCCAGAUUGGUUUCUAUCUUUAAUAUAAAAAUUAUAUUUUAGUACGAAAGGAUUAAAUAUAAAAAAUAAUUUUUAUUAAUUAAUGAAUUUUAUUAAUAUUUAUAAUAUUUAUAACAAUAAUA